rnacentral:tRNA from 1 species
GGGUGUUUGCAAAGCGGAGUCAAAUAGAAAUUAGCGCUUUUCUACUCUGACACGGAAGAAGUCACAAGUUCAAAUCUUGUACGGCCCACCA